AACCCAUGGUGAAGACACUUCCUUAAGAGCUCCUUAUAUCUCUCCCAAGCCUCAUAGAGUGACUCUAAUACUUGUUGGAAAAAAUUAGUUAUGUCACUUCUCAUCUU